UACGUAGGUGGCAAGCGUUGUCCGGAAUUAUUGGGCGUAAAGCGCGCGCAGGCGGUCCUUUAAGUCUGAUGUGAAAGCCCACGGCUCAACCGUGGAGGGUCAUUGGAAACUGGGGGACUUGAGUACAGAAGAGAAGAGUGGAAUUCCACGUGUAGCGGUGAAAUGCGUAGAGAUGUGGAUGAACACCAGUGGCGAAGGCGACUCUUUGGUCUGUAACUGACGCUGAGGCGCGAAAGCCAGGGGAGCAAACGGG
rnacentral:rRNA from 1 species